CCAGAUGUUUUCCAACUCUUUCGUUAAAAAAUGCUGUGAAUCCAUGUUUGAAGAAUAUAUAAUACCGACACUAUUUUAUCCUUUGUGCAAAUACGUCUCCGACCGUGCAAUUCAAGUCGCAGCUGCAGUAGUAUCGUGUGCGCAUAAUGUGCUUGGUGCUUUAGAAGGAGUUAAUGCAGCAAUCUGUCCAACUGCGGUAGAAGAUCGAUCAAUAUCAUCAUUAUCAAGCGGUCUCUGAUAUAUCAAACCGCACACGUACGCAACAAGGUAGAGGAAAAAAAGAAACAAAAUGAAACACACGGAAAGCCGGGCAUUAGGUCCCAAAGUGAAGGUUCCGCUGAAGGAAGAAUCUACGUCCUACCGGGUGCAUAUUGCUCUGGGUCUAUUUCUUGUGAUCAUGUUUUUGUCCUUCCCGACGCUUUGCGGUGCCCACGGGCAGCACGCCCACGAUCAUGAUCAUCUCCACGAGCAUGAUCACCAUCAUCAUCAUCAUCACGAAAAUCCGAGUUUUAAAUACUCCAAACAUGCGAACGAGAUGUACGAGGAAGAACCGGUGGCAGUUCCACAUCAUCACCAUCAUCAUCAUGGUGGAGAUGAGAACCACGACCAUCAUCAUCAUCAUCACCAUCAUGAUGGUGGUCACCAUCAUCAUCAUCACGAGGAAAAGCCAACCAGCGAAAGUAAAGCUCCGAGAGAUACCUUCUACAUCUGGGUGCAUUCACUCGGCUCAACGUUGCUGAUUAGUGCGGCACCGUUUUUCAUUCUGUUUGCCAUACCGCUCGAUAAUACGGAAGAGAUGCAGCCGCGUUUGAAAACGUUGCUUGCCUUCGCUUCCGGUGGUUUGCUGGGCGAUGCUUUCCUGCACCUGAUUCCGCACGCCAUUCAGCCCCAUUCGCAUGCGGAUGGUCACACGCACGGUCACAGUCAUGGCCAUUCUCAUAGUCACGGAGAGGAAGGCGAGCACGAAAGCCAUGGACAUGACAUGCGUGUAGGUCUGUGGGUUCUAGCGGGCAUUAUAGUGUUCCUGGCAGUUGAAAAAUUCGUCCGUUUGAUUAAGAAAGAUACCGGACAUGGACAUGGCCAUGGUCAUAGCCACGGUGGUUCGAAACCGGCCGCACCAGUACAAAGUAAAGCAGCUGCCAAGAGCUCUCCACCGCCAUCCCCAUCCGAGAACAAGAAAGACAAGAAAGAUAAGAAACAAACGGAAGGAACGAAAUCGAAAAAGGAGGAAGCGAAAGCAAAGGGUAAAGCUGUCCGUAAGGAACCGAAAAAGGAAGCGGACAUUAAGAUCGCCGGGUAUCUUAAUCUGGCUGCAGAUUUUACGCAUAACUUUACUGACGGACUGGCGAUCGGUGCGUCUUAUCUGGCAGGCAAUAGUAUAGGUCUGAUCACGACCAUUACCAUCCUGCUGCACGAGGUCCCGCAUGAAAUCGGCGACUUUGCGAUACUCAUCAAGUCGGGUUGUUCGAAAAAGAAGGCCAUGCUGUUGCAGCUGACGACGGCAGUGGGUGCCCUAGCCGGUACCGUCCUUGCCCUCCUAGGCAGUGGGAGUGAUGCGGCGGAAUCAUGGGUACUGCCGUUCACGGCUGGUGGCUUUAUUUACAUUGCCACCGUGUCGGUUAUACCGGAGCUGCUGGAAGAAUCCACCAAGCUGUGGCAAUCGUUGAAGGAAAUUACGGCCUUGUUGGCCGGCGUGGGCAUGAUGGUAAUUAUUGCUAAGUUUGAAUAAUGGAUUAGAUAGAGCAGUACAAUGGAUGGGGUCCCGUGGCUGCCGUCUUUCUUCCUGUUGUACCUUCGUCAUCUAUACACUUCUAUUACGGAUCAUGUCUGAAGGUAAUUGAACACACGAUAGAACAAAGAUGAUUUGCUCUGUUUAAAGCACGUACUUCGUGCGAUACUUACUGCAGCGUAAAAGCGAAGCUGAGCUUUGUAUUAUUUUUUUUUUUUUGCACUUUUAAGCUUCCUUACACAUUAUACAUUAAAUGUUAUCGCCAAAAGAUUGUUGAAGAUUUGUUAGAUUUAAAGAAUCAAUAAAAUAACUGUUUUUAACAUGAUCAUGAAA